AUCCUAGCUACUUAGGAGGCUGAGGCAGGAGGAUUGCUUGAGCCCAGAAGGUCAAGGCUGCAGUGAGCCCUGAGUGCCCUGCUAUACUCCAGCUUGUGCAGCAGAGUGAAACCCUGUCUCAGAAAAGAAAACAGAUGUAGAAAGAAUGAUGGAAAUAGAAAAUCACCAUUAGGCAAACACCAUAAUAAUAAUUGUUUCGGGCAAGAAUCAUGAAUCAGUGCUCACAUGGGCAAAAGCAUGAUGAGGAACAGGUUGUUUGCAUAGUCUCAAAAUAGUUCCCUAUAAGACACUUAUGGUUACAAAAUAAAGACUAGUAACUUCACAGUGAAGAACUCUGACGAUGACAGACACCACCUUAAGCAAGUGAUCAGUGCAAACCAGCAGCAGUAGGAGCAGUAAUGUACUGCAUUGAGAAGGGCACAAGAGCACUUAUGUGACAUUCUUGCCAAAAAUACAUACCAUCCAUCUAAUUAGGAGAAAACAUCAGCCAAAUCCUAAUGGAGAGAUAUUCAACAAAAUAAUGGCCAGUGCUCAAGUCACAGUCAUCGCAGAAUCACAGAGCAAGCAUCACAGACAGAAGACUAGAAGGCAUGGAAACCAGAUGCAAUGUGAGAGCCUGGAGUCAGUCCUAGACCAGCAAAAGGGCAUUCAGGGGAAAACUGGCAAAAGUCUAAUAACAACUAAAGAUCAGUCAGUUGGUCUUAUUUUAUCAGUGUAGAUUUCCUCGUUUUGAUCAUUGGACUAUGGAUAUGGAAGACUGUAACAUUAGUGUCAUAAUCCUUAGGGUGCCGCUUCGUCAGCUGGAAACUUCUGUGGCCUGCGGUGCCUAUACCUGGGCUUUGCACCCAUUGGGCUCCUUCCACCCACUUGGCCUGGCAGGCUGUGUUUGGCUAGUGCCAGCAGCCCAGAGCCCACACCUGCCAAAGGCAAGCAACGGGUGUGUGCACCAGUGAGUGUGGGGUCUAGACACUGCACAAAGCAGUCAUACUGGCUGCUGCUGCAGGGCAGGCAGCUCUAGGUGUCGACACAUGUGCUGGCUCCAUGCAAGGCUGCAGCUGGACCAGAUAUAUCACACACAGCUUGCACUGUGAGCUCCUGCAUCUGGACGAGGGGAACACAGUGGCACCCAGAAGCUUGGAGAUGCCAGGAACCACAGAGCCCAAAAGAGGCUGUCACGGCCCUGGCUUGGGGAGCUCCUGGUCUGGGGCACUCAAAGGGCCUCAGCUCUUCUCUCCUUCUUAUCUCUCACAGCAUGGCAAGGGGUGUGUGUGGAGGAGGUGUGUUUUAGUCCUGUUUGUGUUAAACUCUUUCAGUCCUGCCAUUUGGCAGGUCCUGAGUUCUUGUCCUGAGACCAGGAAGAACAAAGCACAUGGACAACUGGAGGAUGAGCAAAAUGGAGAGGAGCUUCAUUGAGCAACAGAACAGCUCUCAGGAGACCCAAACGGGAGCUGGCUCCUUCGGGCUCACAGCCUUGCUGUGCAUCCUCCACUGCACCUCCUUUGCUACAACUCCCAUGCUGCAGCCUGCAUCUUCACAGCUGUGGCUCCAGAUGGGCUGCCUCUGCCAUUAGGAGAAGCCAAGUGAGGAGUAUUUAAGAACUCUUUGUACUACUUUUGCAAGUUCUCUGUAAGUCUAAAACUAUGUCAAUAAGAUAUGAAAAAAGUAAUGAGAUGGUGCUAUGGUCUAAAUGUUUGUCUCCCUAAAAUUCGUAGGUUGAAAUCCCAACCCACAAUGUGAUAGAACUAGGAGAUAGGGCUUGGGGAGAGAUGAUUAUUCAUGAGGUUGGAACUGUCGUGAAUGAGAUCAGUGCCUUUAUUAAAAAGGGCCUGGAGAGCUGCCUUGCCCCUUCCCCCAUGUGAGGAUGCAGCAAGAAGACGCCAUCUGUGAAUGCAGAAAGGGUCCUCCCCAGAUACCGAAUCUGAUAGUGCCUUGAUCUUGAACUUCCCAGGCUUCAGAACUGUGAGAAAUAAACUUCUGUUGUUCAUAAA